AAAGUAUGUAACGGGCAGAAGGAAGCGUUUCCGACCCCAUAAAUAAUACAUGGCCGAUUACUCUGAGAUUGGACCCUUCAUUUAGCUUUGUAAUAGUGACAGAAAGCUCUUCUCCUGUCCUCAAUAGAUGACUUCCAGCGGAGUAGGCGACCCAGCUGGGCAUCCUCAGACAAAUUUAUAGCAGUUUAACAGAACAGCAAGUUACAGUGUCCAAGAAGUAAAUAAAUGCGAAUUUGACAAAUGCAAUUAAUUAAAUACAAUCGAAUUACAGAUACCAACGAUUUGCAAAAUAGAAUGAACACCGCAAAAUGUUAUACUUAUUUAAAAAAAUUUUGUCGGUUGUCCGAGUGACCUCGACAACUCAGUCAAAAACAAGAAUGAACGCUAUAGUCGACGGCCUCGAAUAUUACAUACCCGUUACUCAACUAAAGGAAGUGGAAGGGAGAAGGAGAUAUGCAGCAUUUCGGCUGUUUCCGAGAUUAAACACUUUGUUUGCCAAAACCCAUCUUUCUAGCUUUUAUAGUUCCCGAGAUCUCGGCGCUCAUACGAACGGUCAGGCAGAACCUAUAAAAAAUUGAAGUUUUCUUAUUUAAUUAGAUAUAACCGGAUAUACAUACAUAAAUAUACACAGAGUUAUACAAGUUGGUUGUUUUGUUCGAUUCAUUCAAUUGUGUAGCUUAAGCCUAUAGAAUAAUUCAUUACUUUAUUUUGGAAUAUAUUUAUUAUGCAUAGAUAAGUCUUUUCCAUCAUAGGUAAUGCCUUCGUAGAAGAACUUUCGAUUUGAGCGGCAUUGAGGACCACAUCUGGUAGAGCCACAACUACGGCACUCAUACCAACAACCUUCACAUUCUUUAUUUAAGCAGUCGCCUGAAAAUAAACAUAUUUUAUUUUAAAUGUCAACUGUUUCAGGGGUGCCACAAAAAUGAACUCCAGAGCUUGGUGAUCAAAAUAAAAAACUUCCUCCAAUUCAGCGCUUUUCGAUUUAUGUGACACCCUUGAAAGUAUAUUUUUAAUUUUCUCACAAAUAUCUAGACCGUUGAUGCGGAUAUUUCCGUAUUCAUCAUACGCGCUAUUUUUUCCGAAGCAUUGCCCUUUCUUCUUUCCUUUUCUUUUAUUUUUGUCUGAAUCUAUUCCUUCAUUUGCGUUAUAAACGCCUAUUCUCCUUUGUCUCUGUCGCAGGUUGCGACCUAUAGAAUAGUCGGGAUCAAUAUAUGAACUCAUUACUUUCUGA